UACGUAGGAGGCAAGCGUUGUCCGGAUUUACUGGGCGUAAAGAGCGUGUAGGCGGUUCGUACAGUCCGCUGUGAAAUCUCCAGGCUCAACCUGGAGUAGUCGGUGGAAACUAGCGAACUUGAGGACGGUAGAGGGAGGUGGAAUUCCCGGUGUAGUGGUGAAAUGCGUAGAGAUCGGGAGGAACACCAGCGGCGAAGGCGGCCCCCUGGGCCGCUCCUGACGCUGAGACGCGAAGGCCAGGGUAGCGAACGGG
rnacentral:rRNA from 1 species